rnacentral:rRNA from 1 species
ACUCCUACGGGAGGCAGCAGUAGGGAAUCUUCCGCAAUGGGCGAAAGCCUGACGGAGCAACGCCGCGUGAGUGAUGAAGGUUUUCGGAUCGUAAAACUCUGUUAUUAGGGAAGAACAAACGUGUAAGUAACUGUGCACGUCUUGACGGUACCUAAUCAGAAAGCCACGGCUAACUACGUGCCAGCAGCCGCGGUAAUACGUAGGUGGCAAGCGUUAUCCGGAAUUAUUGGGCGUAAAGCGCGCGUAGGCGGUUUUUUAAGUCUGAUGUGAAAGCCCACGGCUCAACCGUGGAGGGUCAUUGGAAACUGGAAAACUUGAGUGCAGAAGAGGAAAGUGGAAUUCCAUGUGUAGCGGUGAAAUGCGCAGAGAUAUGGAGGAACACCAGUGGCGAAGGCGACUUUCCUGGUCUGUAACUGACGCUGAUGUGCGAAAGCGUGGGGAUCAAACAGGAUUAGAUACCCUGGUAGCGAGUAG